GCUCAGGUGGCUUAGUUGUUAAAGCGUCCGCCUUGGAUGUGGGAGGUCGUGGAUUCGAUCCCCGGUCAAGUCAUAGCA